GGGUCGCAAAGAGUCGGACACGACUGAGCAACUGAACUGAACUGAAAAGGGGCUAGGAUGGGAGUGGGGAGGGAAAGUUCCAACUUUUGUUAAUGCUUUUUACCAAAGUUCAAAAUCUAAUGAAGAAAUACACAUAUAAGUCAAAGCAUGGCUUGAGCUGAAAAGGACUUUACAGAAUCAAGACAAAAGAGCCAUCACUUGGCAUUAGAACAGGAGAGCUUGCAGAUAAGGUAACAUGAGCUGGGUUAGAGGGAUGAUCCCACUGAUGAGGUAACAAUAACUGAAAUUCAGGGUACAUGCUCUGCCCCCCAACCAAUAUUUUACAUAUUAAAAACAGUUCAAGUAGUGAACAUACACCCCAACAUACUUUAUUUUUUAAAAAUAUAAGAUUUGCUACAUAAAACAAUGAAAACUUUCCCACAUCACCUAAGUUUCUAACAAUUCCACUAUUCCUUUACCAUUUUGGCAUGAAUCCUGUGUCACUGUUACUAUGCACCUGUUACUGCAAUGAGAUACACAUUAUCUUUUCCCUAUGGGUGAUCAUUUUGCAUCUUCCCCAUGAAUCUCCGUGACUUUGAAAGUAAUGACUAUCAUCCAUUUCUACUUUAUGUUUCCAUAAUACUCCUCAAAUAAAUGGGUACUCAACAGAUAUUGACAAAUUAAACCUAGUUCUAAUAAUUGGGACGACAAUCACCCUCACGAAAGAUGUCUGUGGAUCAAACACUACUAACAAUUAAGUCACGUUUUUGUACACAGAACAAAAAGCAACUAGAUUAAUAUACCUGCCCCUAGACACUAAACCAACUGCUGGUCUCUGGUGUAACUUGUUCAGAAAAGUAUCUUAAAAAAUAAAUAAAUAGGCCUCUCAAGCAGUCUUUACAGAACAUUAUCUUUUUCCCUCACAAAGUCCUAAGUCAACAAAUCCAUUUACUGGGCACUAGAAAUGUAUUAGGUGACAGAGCGAAUCUGCACAGAAAUAGAGGACAGUCCUAGUUCCCAGGGAUCUCAAGGGACACUUCACAAUUCAAGAAAUGCCUUGGCAAUGUGUAUAUUUAAGACAAUGUGCUUAAAACAAUGU
rnacentral:lncRNA from 1 species